UGGGGAAUCUUGCACAAUGGGGGAAACCCUGAUGCAGCGACGCCGCGUGAGUGAUGAAGCCCUUCGGGGUGUAAAGCUCUUUCGGCAGGGACGAUAAUGACGGUACCUGAAGAAGAAGCUGCGGCUAACUACGUGCCAGCAGCCGCGGUAAUACGUAGGCAGCGAGCGUUGUUCGGAGUUACUGGGCGUAAAGAGUGCGUAGGCGGUUUUCCAAGUUUGGUGUGAAAUCUCCCGGCUUAACUGGGAGGGUGCGCCGAAAACUGGAAGGCUAGAGUAUGGGAGAGGUAAGCGGAAUUCCUGGUGUAGCGGUGAAAUGCGUAGAUAUCAGGAGGAACACCUGCGGUGUAGACGGCUUACUGGACCAUAACUGACGCUGAGGCACGAAAGCGUGGGUAGCAAACAGGAUUAGAUACCCUGGUAGUCCACGCCCUAAACGAUGCAUACUUGGUGUGGGUAGUUCAUUCUAUCCGUGCCGGAGCUAACGCGUUAAGUAUGCCGCCUGGGGAGUACGGUCGC
rnacentral:rRNA from 1 species